rnacentral:rRNA from 1 species
UACGGGGGGAGCAAGCGUUGUUCGGAUUUACUGGGCGUAAAGGGCGCGUAGGCGGCCUCCGCAAGUCGACUGUGAAAUCUCCGGGCUUAACCCGGAACGGUCAGCCGAUACUGCGGGGCUAGAGUGCAGAAGGGGCAACUGGAAUUCUCGGUGUAGCGGUGAAAUGCGUAGAUAUCGGAAGGAACAUCAGUGGCGAAAGCGGCUUCCUGGACCAGUACCGACGUUCAGGCACGAAAGCGUGGGGAGCAAACAGG